rnacentral:rRNA from 1 species
UAUGCGAUGGGGUGACGCAGGAGGAUAGGUGAGCCACCGAACGGAAGUGGUGGUUGAAGCUGGUAGGAUGCUCCGACAGGUAAAUCCGUUGGGGUAGAUCCGAGAAGCGAGUACGAGCCCUCUUUUGGGCGAAGUCACUAAUUCCAGGCUGCCAAGAAAACCCUCUAAGCUUCAGUCACGGGACGACCGUACCGCAGACCGACACAGGUAGACGGGAAGAGAAUUCCAAGGCGCGUGAGUGAUCCCUCGUGAAGGAACUCGGCAAAUUAGCACCGUAACUUCGGAAGAAGGUGUGCUGGCUGUCGUUAUUUUCCUCGCGAAAAGAAGCGACGGUUAGUCGCAGUGAAUGCCCCAAGCGACUGUUUAUCAAAAACACAGGGCUCUGCUAAGUCGAAAACGACGUAUAGGGUCUGACUCCUGCCCGGUGCCGGAAGGUUAAGGGGAGUGGUUAGCCGCAAGGCGAAGCUACGAACCGAAGCCCCGGUAAACGGCGGCCGUAACGAUAACGGUCCUAAGGUAGCGAAAUUCCUUGUCGGGUAAGUUCCGACCUGCACGAAUGGAGUAACGAUUUGGGGACUGUCUCCACGAGGGGCUCAGCGAAUCUGUAGCGCUGGUGAAGAUGCCAGCUACCCGCAACUAGACGGAAAGACCCUGUGCACCUUUACUGCACCCUGGCAGUGAACUCUGGUGCUGUAUGUGUAGGAUAGGUGGGACUCUUUGAAGCCGGGCCGCUAGGUUCGGUGGAGAGGUCGGUGAAAUACCACCCUUACAGUACCGGAGUUCUAACCGAGGCCCGUGAUCCGGGUCCGGGACAUUGCCAGGCGGGCAGUUUGACUGGGGCGGUCGCCUCCCAAAGUGUAACGGAGGCUCGCGAAGGUUCCCUCAGGCUGAUUGGAAACCAGCCGACGAGUGCAAAGGCAGAAGGGAGCUUAACUGCAAGACCUACAAGUCGAGCAGAUGCGAAAGCAGGCCUUAGUGAUCCGGUGGUUCUGUAUGGAAGGGCCAUCGCUCAAAGGAUAAAAGGUACGCCGGGGAUAACAGGCUGAUCCUGACCAAGAGUUCACAUCGACGUCAGGGUUUGGCACCUCGAUGUCGGCUCAUCGCAUCCUGGGGCUGGAGCAGGUCCCAAGGGUCCGGCUGUUCGCCGGUUAAAGCGGUACGUGAGCUGGGUUCAGAACGUCGCGAGACAGUUCGGUCCCUAUCUGUUGUGGGCGGAGGAGAAUUGAGAGGAGAUUACCUUAGUACGAGAGACCGGGAAGUACUGACCUCUAGUGUACGAGUUGUCGCGCCAGCGGCAUCGCUCGGUAGCUAAGUCGGGAAAGGAUAAUCGCUGAAAGCAUAUAAGCGAGAAGCCAACCUCAAGAUGAGUUCUCCCUGAAGACCCGUGGUAGAUGACCACGUUGAUAGGCUGGAUGUGUAAGAGUAGCGAUACUCUCAGCUGACCAGUACUAAUCGGUCGUUUGACUUGACCAU